CUCUGCUUGCUUUUAGAAGAAAGUGGUUGGUGACAAACUGCGCUGAGACGUCUUCAGGAAAGUACAUAUCUGUGUUCAUAUGAAAUAUUUAGUAGCUUAUGUCGCAAUAAAAAACAGCUAUAAAUAAACAACAAAAUGGGCAAUGCAGGAUAUACGUGCAUUCGAAGGACGUUUUGCUGGCUUAAUAUAAUUUUAUGGCUUUGCAGUUGCGCUUUUCUUGGUGUCGGAGUCUGG